rnacentral:misc_RNA from 1 species
UUGUCUGAGCCGAUUACCUUGGGAA